GCAAGCAGCAUGGGAGAGACUCCAGCAACAAACGGCACACAGACAGAGACUCCAGCAUCAGACAACACAGCAGACCCAGCAUCAGAGUCAACACCUCCGCUCCCCUGUAAUGUGGCUAUUGCAGAUAAAGCAGCAAGCAGCAUGGGAGAGACUCCAGCAACAAACGGCACACAGACAGAGACUCCAGCAUCAGACAACACAGCAGACCCGGCAUCAGAGUCAACACCUCCGCUCCCCCCUGAGUCUGAAACUCUUUUACUUACUCCUGCAUCUUCCUCCUUAACUUCUCCUAUUUCUUUCACAACCUCCUUGUCCUCACCUAUGUCGUUAUCCGUUGCUCCUCAAGUCUCCCCCCUGACUCAGCCUGUUUUCAAGUUCUCUCAACCCAGUCGUAUAUCUUCUUCCCUGGCUUCUCCUCUGCCACCAGCCUCUACCCUUUCUGCCGCUUCUAAACUCACUGCUGUGCCCACUGAGCUAGGUAGUCCAGACUCAGUAUCUUCCUCAGGAAAAAAAAGACAAAUAAAGAGGAAAGCAGAACCUAGAGAAUGCCCCAUUCAUAAAGACUCCACCAGUUUCCCCUACCAAAAAAUUUUGAGGAAAAGAAUCAGGGAGGUUUGGAAAAAUAAAAAAACUAUUUAAGUACUGAUAAAAGUAAUAUUAAUAAAAAAAAAAGAAUAACAAUAACAAUACUAAUUUGCUAUUUUUUGUAGUGUAAUUACAAUGCGUCUAUGGGGAAAAAAGAAAAAUAACAAAUUUUUCGAAAUUGAGACUUAUACAUCAUCUGAAACCUGAAUAAAUAAUCUUUCUAUUGAUGUAUGGUUUGUAUGGACAAUGUUUGGUCGAGAUGCAACUGCUUUGAAAUUCUGGAAUCUGAGUGAGCAAAAAAUAAAAAUAAUUGAGAAAAUCACCUUUAAAGUUGUCCAAAUGAAGUCCUUAGCAACACAUUUUACUAAUUUACACCAUUGAUUUAACCGCGGUAAUGACGUUGUGGAGAGUAGAUGAAACCGAAAGUGGAAAUUCGAAGCUUUACAUCGAUACCAAACUUGACUGGGUAAUUCCCAAAGAUUGGGCAGCCGUGAGCCAAGUUUCUAGGCAUGUUUCCGGCCAUUUUUUCUCCCGCGAUUUUGCGGCAUCCACUCACAAAAAAUUUACAGUUGGAAAUUUACAAAAUAUCUUCAUGGAACAUGAUCUUUACUUAAUAUCCUAAUGAUUUUUAGCAUAAAAGAGAAAUGGAUCAUUUUGACCCAUACAAUGUAUUUUUGGCUAUUGCUACAAAUAUACCCCAGCGACUUAAGACUGGUUUUGUGCUCCAGGGUCACAUAUAAUAAAUUAAUGUUUAGGUAUUCAUAACAUUCAUGUUAUCACAAAUUUUAAUUCAAGUUUUACUGCACAAUUUAAGUUUAGCAAAUUUAAAAAAUUUUCAAUAGCGGUUGUAGUUUGACAAAAAUAAAAACUGAAGUUCCGUAUUUUUCAAAAUUGAAUUGAUAAUAUAGUAAUUAUGCUAAUAUUAUUGCUCUGGCCUCAUUGACACUAUUAUACGAGAACUCAACAGAGCUAGAUGAUGACAUCAAUGUUGUCAACAGAGAUGUUGUACAAAUAAAAUUAACUAAAUUUAUAACUGAGGAUUAACAAGUGAACUGAAUGUACUGAAUCACUAUUGGACAAUGUUAAAAUUGACAAACAAUGCAUAAUAUUCCUGUUGGCACUGUAAAGCUGCUUUGAAAAAAUCUGUAUUGUAAAAAGUGCUAUAUAAAUAAAGGUGACUUGACUUAAUAAUUAAAAAUUAAAGUUUUAUUAUGUUUCUAAUGUUAGACUUAGUCCCAUUGACUUUUAAUUUCACUUUGUUUAUUUCACCUGGAUUUUGUUAUAUUUACCGUUCAUCUGAUAUAUGAUUGUAGCUUUUUGUGUAGAAGGAAAAUGUAAUUAAUUUCACCAUGUUUCUUUCUGUUUUGUUUUUUUUCUAAGGGCCAUGUGGAGGUUUUGGUGCAGUGGCAUCCUUGCUCUGGAUGUGGGAUGAAGUGGAAAAACUCCUGGGAGCCACAAGAAAAUAUUCAAAGUUCAUCCUGAAGAUGUGUGUGUUCCAAUGUAUUGUUUGUUGUUAGGUUGCAUCGUUGUUGCAGAGACUGAAAUCAGAUUUUGUUUUUCAGUGUUAUUGCACAUCAGUUCAGAUUUAUUCCUGUGUUCUGUAACUGCUUUGUAAAGUAUGUUGCCUCAGUUUUCUGUGUUUGG